GACAGAGGCCUCGAGCGUUAGGCGGAAUCACUGGGCUUAAAGCGUGUGUAGGCGGGCCCGUAAGUGUCUUGUGAAAUCCCACGGCUCAACCGUGGAACUGCUGGGCAUACUGCGGGUCUUGGGCCAACUAGGGGCAGCCGGAACAAGCGGUGGAGCGGUGAAAUGCGUAGAUAUCUGGAGGAAUACCGGUGGCGAAGGCGGCAUCCUGGACCGGCAUUGACGCUGGUGAGCGAAAGCUAGGGGAGCAAACGGG
rnacentral:rRNA from 1 species